CAUCUCGCGGCAGUUGGCAGUCGUCUUCUAAACCAAGCUCAUUAGUCGGCCAGCAUUCGGCCGCGGGACACGUUUAACAGUGUGGAUCGUAACUUUCCUCUUCGCGCCCCCCACACGCUCGCUCUCGCCUUUGCACCCCCUCCAAAUCUCUCUCUCUCUCUCCUUUCUCUCAUCCUUCCUCGAUCGAAAGAGGCUGCUCUCGUCUCCCGCGCUCGAUACGAGGGGAUGCGGCCAGCCUCGAUGGACUCUCGUGCACGUGCCAGUUGACUCCUCUCUUCGAGGAGAGCGUCGAACCCUUACAACGCGCUCUCUCCAAACGAAAUACAACUUUCGUCCGUUGAAUCCACGAAUCUAAUUAUCUUGAAGCGACGACUCUAACGCGACUCCUCCAGGUGGGUCCCGUCCCUCGAAGAGAUCGGGAGAAGAGAGGGUGGGGGGAGGUGGAGGGGGUGCGUCGGCCGCCGAUGGUCGAGGACGACGUGGUGGAGCAUAGAACGGGCGGACGAACGAGUUCCCGAUGCUGCAACCACCGUCUCCCCUGUUGGAGAUGGCGUCGCUUCGUUUGCCCGACUCGGAGGAGUUCGACGUGGAUCCCCGUCGAAGGAGCAACAACGGGAACGGGCCGGCGACCACGGUGUCCGCCGUCCCACCCGCCACCGUCUCCACCCUCCUCCAGAUGAGGAACGAGGUGGGCGAUUAUCUGAACAGCCUGAUCGUCGAGGCGAUCGCGACAAGCCCGGGCAGCAGGGGGCCGGGGAUGGACGAGCACGAGGGGGCCAGCAGCGCCCUGUUGAACGCGAGCAAAACGGCGGCGGCCGCGGCGAAUUUGACCGCGGGCGACGGCCAGAUACCGGCGGUGGACAGAUUGUACAGGCACAGCAUGGCGAUGUCGGCGGUUUAUUGUGUCGCUUACGUGCUCGUGUUCGUGGUAGGGUUGAUUGGGAACAGUUUCGUGAUCGCCGUUGUGUACAGAUCGCCCCGGAUGAGGACCGUCACCAACUUCUUCAUCGUGAACCUCGCGGUCGCAGACGUCCUGGUCAUCGUCUUCUGCCUACCCGCCACGCUGUUGAGCAACAUAUUCGUGCCAUGGUUGCUGGGAUGGUUCAUGUGUAAAGCUGUCGCUUAUAUACAGGGCGUAUCCGUGGCGGCCUCUGUCUACAGCCUUGUUGCGGUUUCCCUGGACAGGUUCCUGGCGAUCUGGUGGCCGCUAAAGUGUCAGAUAACGAAGAGGAGAGCCCGGAUGAUAAUAGUGGUGAUCUGGUUCAUCGCCCUCACGACAACAUCCCCGUGGCUCCUCUUCUUCGACCUGGUCGCCAUUUACAAAGACGACCCGGACCUGAGGCUCUGCCUCGAGGUGUGGCCGCGCCCGAAAGACGAAACCCUCUUCUUCCUGAUCGGCAAUCUGACCCUGUGCUACGUACUACCCACGAUCCUCAUCUCCCUCUGCUACAUACUGAUCUGGAUCAAGGUGUGGCGGAGGCACAUACCCUCGGACACGAAGGACGCCCAAAUGGAGAGGAUACAGCAGAAGUCGAAGGUGAAGGUGGUGAAAAUGUUGGUCGUGGUCGUAAUACUGUUCGUCCUCUCGUGGCUGCCCCUCUACGUCAUCUUCACUGUGAUCAAGCUGGGCGACGAGCAAAGGGAGGACGAGAUCGUCCCCAUAGCAACGCCGAUCGCCCAAUGGCUGGGAGCGAGCAACUCGUGCAUCAAUCCGAUCCUCUACGCCUUCUUCAACAAAAAGUAUCGGCGAGGCUUCGUCGCGAUUCUGAAGAGCGGCCGCUGCUGCGGCAAGAUCAGGUACUACGAGACGGUGGCGAUGAUGUCCUCGUCCACCAGCAUGAGAAAGUCCUCGUACUACGUGAACAACAACAACAACAACAACAACAACUCGUCGACCAGAAGGACCUUCCACGGCCCACCUGUCCACCAGGAGAGCAACGUCUCGUACAUAUUCAACCACACCGGCGUCUAAAAUCUAAAAUGGUCACACACGUUUUGAUGAGAUUUCACGGUACAACACCCAUGGAGAGGCUGGCUGCCCCCGGAUAAGGGCCGCAGCGUGAGCCGGUCCGAGGUUAAUGUGGGUCACCCACGCGUGAUCGCAACCGAUUGUCGCUCGGAUCGGGCCGAUUACCACCGAAUACGGAAGCGCGUUCUUCACCGACUCGCUUCUUCCACCCCCUCCCUUCUGUUCCUCGUCCAAUUCUAAUCGCGAUGCGAAAAUUGGUAAGUUUUCUUUCGCGAGGUUGUCGUCCCUUGGUCGGGAGUGAAGAAAAAGUAGUAGUCGCGUGCCUGAAUUUUCGAAGCGAGCCCUUCCUCCCGCGGCUCGAGAGAGAGAAAGAGAUCUCGCCUUUUUUCACGAGCAAGCCUUUCUAGAUUUUUAAAGAAGAAAUUUAAGGGACCGAGCUUUUAAUCGGAACUCCACUCGGAUGGCAGGUUCGAUUUUUAAGCUAAACUUUCUCGAUCGAAUGACGAUUUAUUAAGUGGAGUUCUGCGCAGCAAGGAAAGAUGCUGCGUUGAUCUUUCCAGAACCGAUGGUCCAUUUGUAAUGUUGUAAAUUUGUCGCGCGGAACGAGGAGGAGGAGGAGGAAGGGCGAAAGCGAGAGGAGAAAAUGCCGUCAACCGUCAUUGACGAUUAUUACUCGUAAUAAGUCCUUAGCGAAAUAUAAUAAAGUACAGAAAUUUAUCCGUGCAUUGCAUGCUGCGACUCGAGUCAAGACACCUCCUAAUUGCAUAACACGUAACGUUACCUUAUACUCACAUUAUAGCGCGUGUACGCGAGCGACGAAGAUAGAGCGAUAAACGAGCGAAAAAGUAACGAACGCACACCGAGCGAGAUAAGAAGAAUGAGAGAACGUUUCGAGAAUUAUCGAUCGAACACUACCUCCGCAUGCAGAGAAAAAGCAGAAUUACAUAUUAUAUAUAUAUAUAUAUAUAUACACUACUUGUACUUAUUAUUCGUAGUACACGGUCGAUUCCAACAAGUAUAAAAUAUACAUAUAUACACGUACAUAAUAUAUAUAUUUUCUUAUCGGAACGUUAGACGAUCUAGUCGUUUUUUUGGUGACUUCUUACGGUGCCAUUACGCUACGAUAAACGGACGCGCCUGCGCGAACAUUAAUAAUCGUUGAUACGGAUCGAAACGAUCGAUCAAGGAUCGACCAACGAUGCUCUCGUCCGCCGCCGCCGCCGCGUUAUCAACGUUGCCUCGCUCCUUCCAUCACACUCGCCCCCACCUAACCUCUCGCUUGUGUCCCAACACGAACUUGAUCCGACCCAGAGAAAGGCGGAAGCGACCGACUUUCCCGUUCUUUUUUGUGUUUUUUUUUUUUUUUCGUCUCGAAUUAUCCCCGUCUCGAUCGAUCACGUGCGCGACGAAUUAACGCGGUUACUGGCGACAAUAAAACGAUCUUUUACGCUGCAGCAGGGCAGCUACUGUUACCGACUAGUUUCAGAGACCAUGCUUACGUGCGCGCGGCGAAUUGUCCGCGACGACAGCGCCACUUUCGCUGGAUCUACGUACUAUCGUUGGAUAACCAAGAAGAUUUUCUCGUCGUUUCUCUCCUCGUGUACUGCUACGCUGGAAGAAAAAAAAUUAUUUUCACUUAGUUGAAACAUAGCAUUAUUAUUAUAGGUUUAGUAUUAUUAUAUAGUAUUUAGUAUUAUUAUUAAAAUGUAGUUGGGAAGAAGAAGUUUUUUUAAGGAAUUUUCUUUGGUUAUCCAACGUUAUCGUAUUGGUGAUCGUUGGAAAAGGUUUUAUCGUCUUCGAUGAUUUGCUGUUGGCACGUAUUCGUAUUUUUCUAGAGCUCGAUCUCUCCGAAUCGUAAUAUAGAGUAAUUAUACAGGAUGAGUCAGUUUUAUCCACGUCGAAAUUUGCGAAUAUUGUGUAUAUUGUGUGGAGAAUAUAUAUCGUGUAAACAUAGGUUGCUCGAGACUUUUUGGUAGAAAGCAAAAGUAGAUCGAUGUUUAAUUUGUUUAUUACAACUCUUCGAUCGAGCUAUGUUUAUAUAUAACUAUUCCUUUAUUACCAAAAUUUGACUGGAUACAAUUGAGACACUCUGUAUAUGCACAAUUGUCCGUUAGCCACAUCUCGUUCCAAGUCGUCAGUGAGGAGCUGAAGGAGUUCGAUUCGAAAGAACUAUAAAUAUAUCGUUUAAAAACUGGGGAUGAAAGAAGGCUGCAAACUUUAUAUAUUGUCUUUUCGAAACAUCUUGAAAUAAGACGAGAUCUCCUCUAUUGAAAUUUGAUUGAAAAUAAUAAUUUUCCACAACGCAGCCUCUUUCAUAUCCAAGUUUGUUCCACUCUGACGAUUGACCAACGAGCGUUUCGUCGUUCUUCUACGAGACUUUUAUCGGGCAUUUACGUAGCACAUAUCCUUCCUCGAGAGGAUAUCUCGAUCAACUGUGAAUUGUUUUUCCUGUGCAAAGUGUAUACGGUGAACGUUGGAUAAAUUCUUGCUAUUUUUUUCUUCUCAUAAAACUCUUCGCUUUUUUCCCUUCCUAUUUUUAACCGAAUCACAAAAGAACACUUAUAUAUAAUUUUAAAUUAAUUUCCUUCUAGUUUUAUACGCAAAGAGAAUUUCCAUCGCUCGAACAAAAUGGUGGAGCCAUUUAUCCAACGUUUCACCGUUAAAAGAGAGACUCCUCCAACUAUGAAAUGGGAGGGAAAAUGAAUAAUCGUAAAUAAAAAAGGAAGGCAAUAGGGCACAGUGGUCGCGUGUAUUCAAAUUGCUACACGACUUGAGAAUUAUAUAACUUGACUCUUUGUAAUACUUGAUAUGUAAGACGGUGUAACGUAAAAGAAAAAAAAAAAGAAAAAAGAAAAAAAAGAAAAAAAAGUGCUGCGGGAUUUUAUGAUAGAGCAACUAUUUUCGUAAGGUUUUUACACGUGGCGAAGACAAGGAUCUAUACAAUAGAUGUAACGAAAUGCCGUAUAAUAUGCGAGGUAUAAUAUAAUUGUAAUAGGCGGUCGUGCGAGGAAAUAAAUUUAUUCAUAUCUAUAAUCGUAGGCUUAAAACCGAUGCCGACGAAGUCGCGUGACGUUCUUAGAAAGUAAGAAGUAUAUAAAUAUAUAUAAAAGAAAAAGCAAAAACGAAAAAAAAAAAAUAUAUAAGAAUGGAGGAAUGAAGAAAAGAAAUAACGGAUAUUUCCACACGUGUCGUGGAAAUAAAAUAAAUUAUUAUUGCAAUCUCUCGAGAAGCGACUGUAUACGUAAGUUAAUCUAUAUUGUAAGGAUAUUUAUAUAAAUAGCAUAUACAUAUAUAUUAUAUAUAUGUAUAUAUUAUAUAUAUACACAACUAAACGUCUAUCUGCUAUCUCUAUGUAAAUAAUGUAACUUGUAACAUUAUUGUAAGUAUGUAUAUCGUUGCUACGUUGUUACACUAUAUACACCGCUGUUAUUACCUUCGUUCUUAUUCGUUGCCUCCCUCUCUCUCGUCCGAGGGAUACCUUAAGGCUCGUUCACACAAUUGUCUGUGGAUAUUCGUUUAUCGAAACGAUCGAUUGUUGACGAAUUGAUAAUGAAGGAUAAUUCGAAAGGAUAGGAUAUAAUAAUAGUAGUCCAGUUUCAUUUGUACACAGCGCACUCUGUCGAUGGCAUCUCGAACUAUAUGUAAACUUAUCUGAGAGAAAGAGAAACAGAAUUUCCAAGACUAGAGAUUAUAUGGAAAAUUUAAAUGUUAUUACUUUUGGAUGGACUAAAAAAUAUCUCAUUCCAUAUUAUAUUAUUUCUUUCUCUUUCUCCUCACCCUUCGAAACGAUCCAUUUCAUUCGUUGCUCGUGAAAAUAUCCUCGGACAAGCGUCUGUAAACGAUCCACCACUCGUCUCAUCGAGAUUUGUUCUUGAUCGGGGAGCGAAGAAAAAAAAAGAGGUUCGUGAGAUACCCGUCGUUUCGCACAGUCAAAGAAGAAAAACAAAGACUUCUUGCUGUUGUUCUAAAAAAAAAAAAAGGAGUCUAAUAUCGUUGUAUUAUUUAUCAUCUAACAAAAACUCGUUCUCUCGAUCAAACUCGUUCGUUUCGAAUUGUACAUAGGCAUCGUUCGCGAUAUUUGAACACCCUAUAUAUAUAUAUAUACAUAUAUACCGUGCAUCCACUUGUUCCAACGCAAUUUAGAUUUGAUUGAUAUCGAUUGUUAAAUCCCCUCCCUCCCUUUCUCCCGAACUAUUUUGAUAUUUGGAGCGUCCACGGUGUAAAAUGACACUUGUUUUUAGGUAUAUAUAUAUAUAUAUAUACUUUUAGAAAAAGAAAUAAUAUAAAACCGCUCGAUCGACUCGAGUCUUUAUCUAUCUAUCGAAACGCUGUACACGCUGUACAUUGUUGUUGGUAUUUUCGUGUAUUUUCGUAUUUUACGUACACACACUAUUGAUACUAUUUUUUAUAAUAAAUAAAACGACGACGAUGAUCAUUCGCUACACGUCCUUAUAAAGCGAUGAUGAGGAGGUGGAGAAACAGAUGAGAAUGUGAUCGAUUGACUGUACGUAUCCGCGUGGCGUUAAAGACUGGCCAGCAGGUAUUUCGAGGUUUUCUUUUCUUUUCUCACUUUUAUAACAUGUUUCAUAAUGAUAAUGAUAAUUUUUUUAUUUUCGUAUACGAAACGAGGCGAUCAAGUUUGACGUGUAAUAAACUUUGAUCGAUAAGGAUAGGUUCCUCGAUUAAUUAUUAUAAAUUUUCGAUAUUUAGAAAUGAUAUUCGUUGCAAUAAUAUUGUUACAUUUAUUAUUGGAAAUAAUUAAAUUUUCAAAGUAUUCGUAUUAAAGAAUUAUAUUGGAUAUAUCGAUUAAUGUAAUUGUUGUAUUUGUGAAAUUUGAGAAAUUUGAUUUAUACAAAUGUAAUUAUUUACAUUCACUAUUUUAUUUUUUAUUUAACCGCAGAGUUGCCGUAGAUCCGUAGAUCUCGAUAGUGAAAGAAUGUUGUGCAGCAGAGAGAAAUAAACGUGACAUUGAGGAUAAUAUAUCGACGCAUGGCAAUCGAGGAUAAUAAUAAAUUAGCGAAGGUAGAAUUGUGAAACGUCUGUGAGAACGUUAAGUAUAAACUGUAAAGUCUGUCUAUGAUUUUCUUUCAAAAUUAUAUUUCAAUAAAAAUCGAUUGUCAUCGAUGAUGUAUGUAUAUAAGAGAAGACAGUUCAAUUUUUUAAAGAUCUUCACAAGUAUUAAGUAUUAUCAAAUUAAUAAUUAAAUAAGAUGAACUGAUAAAAAGUUUGAAUUAAAUUGUAUUCCAUAGAAUCUAAAAAAUUGAUUGAAUUAAACAAAUAGAAUAUCGUAGAAUACAGGAAAAUCAUUUUGUCUAAAAUAAUUUGUUGAAGAAGAUGAAAAUUAUUAAAAUUUAUAUCAUAAUUUCGAAUUUAUGAUCAAGAUGAUUCCAAAAUUUAUCGUGUUGAAAGAAAAGUUUCUCUUUGCUUCCAAGUUUAAUUUCUUCGAUUUUAAAUGCAACAAUUUCUAUUAUAUUAUUUUUAAAAUUUCAUCCUAUCGCACAAUUUUCAAAUUUAUUCCUCAAUCACAUUCGAACGCAUAAAUUUUAUCAUACUCUUUUUUUCUCAAACUUUGAUCGUUCUAAAAUCCUCCUCGACCAAUAUUGCGCACAUAAAAGUCACAAAGAAUCUAUAAAAAAAAAAAAAAAUAAAUUAGCAUUAAUAUUCAAACGAUAAUUCAAAACCAUAUAACACGAAACAUCAGCUGGCCAGUCGAUAACCGUCAAUAACGUGGUAUCUCGCUGGUGCGACGAUUUCGUUUGCAAACGAGGUUAAAUCGAUUCUCAAACCAAAAAAAAAAAAAAAAAAAAAAGCAACCUCCGGAUCCGUUCCUAUGCUUAUCGUUCACGAAAGCGAAAAUAAAAUAACACGUAUAAAAACGGAUAAUACUGCUGAAUGAAAGUUUUCCUUUGCGCGACGACGAAUCGCUUCGCCACCAAGGGGUGGUUUUUCUAUCCUUGUUCCUUAUUUCGUACGGCGGAUUGAUGGUGGAUCGAGGAACCGCGGACAGAUUCACGUAAUCUGAAUCAUUGCGUAAUCUGCGAAUAUAACGAAGACACGACACACGGUUUGGAAAGUUAGUUUGGGAUGUUUUAUCUUUUAAAUUUGGGAUUGGUUGAAAGGAUUCGAAGGAAAGAAAGAUUUUAUGAUUAUGAAUUUUACUGCAUUCUAUUUCAGAGAAAUGGAAAUUUAUCAAUAUGUGGAAUAUUUAAUUAUUUGUUUUAUUUGUAUUAUUGAAAACAUUUUUCAAAAACAUUUUUAUUAAAUCGAUUUUAAUGCUCUUAAGAUUAUUAUGAAUUAAUUUUCUUUAUUUUAUUUCCAAUUAUCUCUUUAUUUUUAAAAUCUUGGACAAUUUUCGAUUUUCUUUAAUAAAAAUUGUAUUCAGCUUUAAUUUUCAACGUGAUAACUAUUACACGUUUAGAUAAUCUUUAUGCAUAAAUUAAAAACAGAUAAAAAAAUUGGAAAGAGCGAAUCUUUACGUAUCUUUACGAAUUUCAUUGUAUCAAGAAAGAAAAUAUCUCUCUAUUUCUUCCUUCCUUCCUUCCUCCUUCCUUGUUCCUCUUCCUUCUUCUCUUUCAACGCUAUGGGGCCAAAGCGCGUGGUUUCCGCAAAGUUUUCUAAAAUCUGCGAGAAAUUGUACGCGGUUCGCGGCAAAAAAUUUCAAUAGACUUUUCAAUAGAAUUUGAAAUUGUACGUGCAAUAUAUAAAAAAGAAAAAAGAGUGAGAAGAAGAAAAUUGAUUUUUCGAAGCAAACGAAAGGAAAGUUCGUUGAACAGUUUUUUCCCCGCGAAACGUAAGAAAGAAGCGUUUUCUCGAGCCUCUCAUCAAUUCAUCGGAUAUUUUUCUACACGGGUUCGAUUAGAUUUUUCAAAAGCGUGUGGUGGCGUGUGUGUGUAAAUACUAAAACGGCAAUUUUAGAGGAGUAUUGUAUUAAUAUUAUUAUUACAUUAUUUACUAUCGAUUUACAUGAAAAAAAAUGUUUACACAGGCUAAGGUAAAGCAUAAAACAAAAUAUUUCUCUAUAAAUUUACAUCGAAACGAAAAUGGAAAAAAAAACAGGAAAAAAGAAAAAAAUACAAAAAAAGAAGAAGACGAAGAGGAAAAGGAAGAGGAAGAGCAGCAAGUUGUAAAAGUUCUUGGAACAACUGGAUGGAAUACUUGGGGGCGACGAACUCGAGAGCGAGCUAAGCUUUCUGAGAUUGUUCGUGCAAUCACCUCGAUGAAAUAUUUGCAGCAGGGAUGGGACAGUAGAAGAAACUUCGAAACCGAACCAAGAAAUUUCUCGAACUUGGAAACUUUUUUCGAAUGAAACGCUUUGUGAACGAAUAAUCAUUACAUCUCUAACAAUCCAUCCGAAAAUAGAUAAUAGGAUCAAGUUUCUUCGAAGGAUUUUCUUCCAUCUUUUGAUUUUCAGACAGUUUGAAGGUUCGAAAGUUUCGAGAAAUUGAUUGGGAUCGAUCUUUAAUUUCUAGUCCUUGAAGAAACGAAAUAAAAAAAUCUAAUAAGAAGAAGAAGAAGAAGAAAAGAAAAACAAGAAUAUUUAUACCGAUGUAUUUUCCUCGAAAUUAUAUACAGUCUCGAUUUUCCUUCUCACCAAGAGAUUAUUUGAAAACAGUGGUAGAAAGGUGAGAUUGAAAUUGUGAACAAUCGUCUGCGAGGAAGAAUAUUUAUUCAGAGAUCGGGGAAGAAAGAAAGUUUGAACGUGUUCUCGUUGCAAUUCGUUUUCGCCCAGAUAUAUCGAAGCGAGGAACGAUCGAGGAGGAGGAGGAGGAGGAUCGUCGUAACGAUUGGGGCACGAUGCGACUUCUCGUUGAAGAAAGGAACAGAAGCUAUUUAUAUUUCGUUUUCGACAUCGAGCGAAAUCGAGCUUUUAUUCGAUGAUAGAUUUACGCUUUAUCGCGCUACACCGAAUUUAGAAUGGAAAUAUCUUAUCUUAUUUUCUAGCAUUCCCUCCUUUCCCCUCUUAGAGUAAAAGAAAAAAUAAAUACAAUUAUAGCGGGAACAUUAUUGCGGGCAAUUUGUUCGAUUUUAUUAAUUGAAAUCACAUAAUUUCUCUUGAGAUAUAUAUAAAUGUAGAAAAUAUUCAAACAAAAUUAUUUAAAAUUUUACUGCUUGUAAUAAUUUUUUCUUUUUUAAAUUUUUCGUAAUUAAUCUUAGGAAGAAGGAAAAUGAAUAAUAAAAUUGGUUAAAUGUUUUGCGUCUUCUGACAAUGAAAACGAAAUUGAAGAUACAAAUUCUCAUCAAAUUGUCUUCAACGAAAAGAUCCCUCUAUAAUCUUUUUUUUUUUUUUUUUUUUUUUUACCCUAAGCUCUAUUAAAUCCAAAUUGAAAUAUUUAUGCAUUAGGUUGAUUGUAAUCGUUGCAAGCUUACGUAUAUGUAUAAUUAGUAGAAGCGUUUAUAUUCCUGUAGCGGAUGUAGACAACACAGUGAAUUAUUGCUUUUCUCUUCGAGAUAGAAAAAUGUUAAAAAUGUUAACUUGUUGCAAAGUAGCGAUCGAUUUAAAACGACACCGUUUGUUGAUAGACGAACAAAAAAAAGAAAAAAUGAAAAAAAAUGAAAAAAAAAAAAAAAAGAUUAAAAAUACCUAUAUAGAGAUAUCCUUUGAUAAUUGUUAAGUUUAAGAAGGGCUGGUUUUUGGACAGCUUUGCUCGAUCAGUUUGUAGAAAAUGAAAAAAAUGAUCGAAUCCGCACGUAGCAAUUCUUGUUCAGAAUUAUUAUUAUUAUUAUUAUUAUUAUUAUCGUUAUUGUAAUUAUUAUUAUUAUUAUUAUCGUUAAUAGAGAGAGAGAGAAAAUUAUUAUCGUUGCGAAGUUUAUCAUUCGAUGUCUCCACGCGAUGAUUCGAAGGAGGAGAGAAAUAAUUUUGCGAUUUUUGUCGACCGACAAUGUUAAUGAAUUAAUUUUAAAAAAAGAAAAAUUACAAUUAAAAAAAAAUCUAGCACUUUAUCGUCUUACAACUGAAAUAAUUUUAUUACCAUUUUACUUUUAUUCUUGUUAUAAAAUUUUGAAUUGCGAGAUUUGUGGAUUUUUGUGGAUGCAAAACAUGUUCAAAUGUUUGACAGAAAAUAAUAUCUAUAAUUCGUAUUUGUUUCGAUUUUUCGUAUGAAAAAGAUAAGAAGAAAUUACAAAUUUUAUUAUCGAAUCUUCCAAAUAGAGAAAGCACUAUUGAUUGCUGAAAUAUAAUGCCAAUGCAUAUAUUAUGAAUCUGCUUAUUUCUUCUGUAAUAUAAUCAAUGAGACAAGAUGCGAGUGAAGGUUCUGAAUAAGAACGAUAAAAAAAUUACUUUUUACUUUACACGACGAUAUCUCGGGAACCGGAAACUAUAUCGAGAUAAAUGAAAGAGCGUUUUAAAGAGCAAGGAUCCAUGUUUCUAAUCAUCUUUCGUCCAUUGACCUAGGAUUAUUAUCUUCGAAGUUAUAGCGGUUUAAAGUUUUCUUAAUUUUAAUUGAAUUUCUAAGGUAUGUUAGCGAUAACUCUCCGAAAAAUUAUCUUUACAUGACGAUAUCUUGGGAACCGGAAAUCGUACGGAGAUAAACCAAAAAGCAUUUUAAAGAGCAAGGAUCCCUGUUUCUAACGAUCUUUCAUCCAUUGAUCUAGGAUUAUUAUCUUCGAAGUUAUAGCGGUUUAAAGUUUUCCUAAUUUUUAAUAGAAUGCAAUCAAGUUUUACGAUAAAUCACAACACCAUGGAUAUGAUUAUUUUUAAUCUAUUUAGCACAAAUACAGAUCAUGAAAAAAUAUGUAUUUGCACAAAAAUCCACAUUUUAAUUAUACUGUAAAUACACACAUGUGACGAUACAUUAAUUUAUAUUAUAUCGAUUCAAACUUCAUAAUAAAUGUUCGUUUUAAUUAUUGAGAAGACGAUCAAGUGCUACACACACACACACACACACACACACAUAUAUAUAUAUAUAGAUACACGUAAUCUCGUCAAAGAUUAUUUCUCGAAAUCGAUACAACUCGGAUAGAGCGAUUAUCUUAUCUUAUGCACAUGGUAAAAAAAAAAAAAGAAAUAAAAAAUAAGAAACGUAGAUCCCUCGAUUUAAGCUCUAUCAUGAAUCGCGAAGAAAGAAAAAAGAAAAAAAAAAGGAGGAGCCACUAAUCUAGAGAACAAGCAUUUUUAAGUUCCCAUUUUUCCUUUGCUUUGAUUGGUACACGUGUUAUAUGGAUAAGCGGCAUUAUCCGAAUAACAAUGAAAUAAUAGAAACAUACUAGGUAAGGAAAUGUUUGCAGAUGAAAUUGAUAAGUGUUUUAAUAUUGUAUCGAAGCGUGUGUAAUAUUGUAUCUCGCGAAGAAAAAAAAAAAAAAAAACUCGAAAAAAAAAA